rnacentral:lncRNA from 1 species
ACUUGUUUGUAUACAACCACGCCCGGCAGGAUGACCACCAGAUGACCGGCCGCAGCAAUGCCUCCACUCAGUCCCAGUUGGGCAAAGUUUCACUCCACUGCGGCGACGUGAACAAGAAUCACGGCUUCCUUAUCGUAUGUUUUGUGACCCAGAAUGUGAUCCUGGUAAACAUUCCAUUUGAGAAGAAUGUGUAUUCUGCUGUUGUUGGGUGAGAUACUUUUUAUAUGUUAAUUAAAUUGCUAAUUGGUUAAUGAUGUUGUUCACUUCAGCUGUAUUCUUACUGAUUUUCUACCUCCUGGAGAUAUCAAUUACUGGGAGAGUUUUUUUUAUUUAAGUCUUCAACCAUAAUAACAGAUUUGUCUACUUCUCUUUUCGGUUCUAUUAGUAUUUGCCUCAUGUCUUUUGGUGCUUUGCUAUCAGGUGCAUGCACGUUAAUGAUUAUUAUGUAUCUUGGAAAAUUAGCCCUUUUAUCAUUAUGAAAUGCCCCUGAUAAUUUAUCCCUGAUGAUUUUCCUUGUUCUGAAAUCUGAUUUAUUUGAAAUUAACAAAUCUACUCCAACUUUCUCUUGCUUAGUAUUAUUAUGGUAGACAUUUCUCUAUCACUUUACUUUUAACCUAUUUGUGCUUUUAUAUUUUAAAUGGGUUUUUUUUGUAAACAAUAUAUAGUUAGGUCUCCUUUAUCUAUUCUGACAGUCUCUGUCUUUUAAUUUACAUAUUCAAACCAUUCACAUUUUAAUAUGAUUAUGGAUAUAGUUGGUUUAAUAACUACCAUGUUUGUAACUGUUUUCUAUUAAUUGUACUUUUUAUUUUUUAUUUUUUCCCUCUUUUUCUGCCUUCUCUAGUUGUAGAACAUUUUAUGUCAUUUUAUAUUUCUUCUCUCUUAGUACAACAGUUACCACAAUUUAAAAAAAUUUUAAUAGCUGCUCUAGAAUUUGCAAUGUAUAACUUUAUGUUCACCUUUAAAUAAGACUAUGCCACUUUACAUUCAAUUCAAGUACCUUAUAACAUAGUAUUUCCAGUUCAUUCCUGCCAUCCUUUAUAGUAUUGGUGUUAUUCAUUUCAUUCAUUCAUAUGCUAUAACUGCUUGAUAUAUUGUUAAUAUAAUUACAUUGAACAGUUAUCUAUUAGAUCAAUCAAGAAUAAGAAAAGAUUUUAUUUUACCUUCAUUCCAUCUCUAGCAUUCUUCCUUUCUUCAUUUCUUUUUUCCUUUUUUUCAUUUCUUUUAUUUGUUUAUUUUUUUAAUUUUUAUUUUACGUUUGGGGUGCAUGUGAAGGUUUGUUACACAGGUAAACUUGUGUCUUGGGGGUUUGUUGUACAGAUUAUUUCAUCACCCAGCUAUUAAGCCCAGUACCCAACAGUUAUCUUUUCUGUUCCUCUCCCUCCUCCCACCAUCCACCAUCAAGUAGAGCCCAGUGUAUGUUGUUUCCUUCUUUCUCAAGUUCUUAUAAUUUAGCUCCCACUUAUAAUUGAGAACAUACAAUAGUUGGUUUUCUGUUCCUGCAUUAGUUUGCUAAGGAUAAUGGCCUCCAGCUCCAUUCAUGUUCCCACAAAAGACAUGAUCUCAUUCUUUUUUAUGGCUGCAUAGUAUUACACGGUGUAGAGGUACCACAUUUGCUUUAUACAACCUGUCAUCGAUGGGCAUUUAGGUUGAUUCCAUGUCUUUGUUAUUGUGAAUAGCGCUACAAUGAACAUUCACGUGCAUGUGUCUUUAUGGUAAAAUGAUUUCUAUUCCUCUGGGUAUAUACCAAUAAUGGGAUUAUUGGGUUAAAUGGUAAUUCUGCUUUUUGCUCUUUGAAGAAUUGCCAUACUGCUUUUCAUAAUGGUUUAACUAACUUACAUUUCCACCAACAGUGUAUAAGUCUUCCCUUUUCUCUGCCACCUCAGCAGCAUCAGUUUUUAAAAUUUUUUUUUUAAUAGCCAUUCUGACUGGUGUGAGAUGGUAUUUCAUGGUGGUUUUGAUUUGCGUUUCUAAUGAUCAGUUACAUUGAGCUUUUUUUCAUGUGCUUGUUGGGUGCGUAUAUGUCUUCUUUUGAGAAGUAUCUAUUCAUGUUCUUUGCCCACUUUUUAAAGAGGUUGUUUUUCUCCUCUAA